UAUGGCCGUAUCAUGUUGAAACACCAGUUCUCAUACAAACAUUGAAGUCAAGCAAUGUCAAGCUUGGUCAGUACCUAGAUGGGUGACUGCUUGGGAAGACCAGGUGCUGUAAG